AUCUUUGGUUAUCUAGCUGUAUGAGUAUACUGGUUUCAUAAAGCUAGAUAACCGAAAGU
rfam:Xenopus laevis strain J chromosome 1S, whole genome shotgun sequence.